GAUGAACGCUGGCGGCGUGCCUAAUACAUGCAAGUCGAGCGAACAGAUAAGGAGCUUGCUCCUUUGCCGUUAGCGGCGGACGGGUGAGUAACACGUGGGUAACCUACCUAUAAGACUGGGAUAACUUCGGGAAACCGGAUCUAAUACCGGAUAACAUUUGGAACCGCAUGGUUCUACAGUGAAAGAUGGUUUUGCUAUCACUUAUAGAUGGACCCGCGCCGUAUUAGCUAGUUGGUAAGGUAACGGCUUACCAAGGCGACGAUACGUAGCCGACCUGAGAGGGUGAUCGGCCACACUGGAACUGAGACACGGUCCAGACUCCUACGGGAGGCAGCAGUAGGGAAUCUUCCGCAAUGGGCGAAAGCCUGACGGAGCAACGCCGCGUGAGUGAUGAAGGGUUUCGGCUCGUAAAACUCUGUUAUUAGGGAAGAACAAAAGUGUAAGUAACUGUGCACGUCUUGACGGUACCUAAUCAGAAAGCCACGGCUAACUACGUG
rnacentral:rRNA from 1 species